GAUGAACGCUGGCGGCGUGCUUAACACAUGCAAGUCGAACGAAGUGGCGGACGGGUGAGUAACGCGUAAUAAACCUGCCCUUCAACGGGGGACAACAGUUGGAAACGACUGCUAAUACCGCAUACUGAAGGAGGGGAUUGCGUCUGAUUAGCUAGUUGGAGGGGUAACGGCCCACCAAGGCGAUGAUAAGUAGCCGGUCUGAGAGGAUGAACGGCCACAUUGGGACUGAGACAAGGCCCAGACUCCUACGGGAGGCAGCAGUGGGGAAGCUUCCGCAAUGGACGAAAGUCUGACGGAGCAACGCCGCGUGAGUGAUGACGGCCUUCGGGUUGUAAAGCUCUGUUAAGCGGGACGCGGUACCGGAAUAGAAAGCCACGGCUAACUACGUGCCAGCAGCCGCGGUAAUAC
rnacentral:rRNA from 1 species